rnacentral:lncRNA from 1 species
AUCUCUGAAAGAAGAUAUUGUCUGCAUAACUACUGAUGGAACAACGGUGAUGAAAAAAAUUGGGAAGUUGAUUGAUGUAAAUGAGCAAUUAUGCUAUGCUCGUGGAAUUCAGUUUGGAGUAAUCAGUGUGCUAUGUCAACAAAAUAAAGAGCAAAAUACUCAGGAUUUAGAAACUUAUGAUUCUGACUUCGAAGAGAGUGACAAUGAGGAAAAUAAUAAUAGAAUUGUUGAAGGUACCUUAUUUGGAUAUGAAGAAGAUAAUAGUAACGAGGACGAAAUAUUAACUUACCAAGGAUUGCUUCCUAUAAUUAAGA